GACGAACGCUGGCGGCGUGCUUAACACAUGCAAGUCGAACGGUGAAGCGCCUUCCUUUUUGGUGGGUGUGGAUGAGUGGCGAACGGGUGAGUAACACGUGAGUAACCUGCCCCCUUCUUCUGGAUAACCGCAUGAAAGUGUGGCUAAUACGGGAUAUUCUGGGUCUGUCGCAUGAUGGGUCUGGGAAAGAUAUUGUUUCGGUGGGGGAUGGGCUCGCGGCCUAUCAGCUUGUUGGUGGGGUGAUGGCCUACCAAGGCGGGGACGGGUAGCCGGCCUGAGAGGGUGGUCGGUCACACUGGGGCUGAGCCACGGCCCAGACUCCUACGGGAGGCAGCAGUGGGGAAUAUUGCACAAUGGGCGCAAGCCUGAUGCAGCGACGCCGCGUGAGGGAUGGAGGCCUUCGGGUUGUGAACCUCUUUCGCCAGUGAAGCAGGCCUGCCUCGUUUGUGGGUGGGUUGACGGUAGCUGGAUAAGAAGCGCCGGCUAACUACGUG
rnacentral:rRNA from 1 species